UGGAUUCCCUAGACUAGGGAAGCCAGUUGGUGUGGCUCAGUCCAAGUCUGAGCACGUGAGCAGUGCCUGGACUGAGCCAUGCUACUGGCUUACCUGGUCUCCAGC
ensembl:miRNA